ACGGGAGGCAGCAGUGGGGAAUAUUGCACAAUGGGGGAAACCCUGAUGCAGCGACGCCGCGUGAGUGAAGAAGUAUUUCGGUAUGUAAAGCUCUAUCAGUGGGGAAGAAAACGACGGUACCCACAGAAGAAGCCCCGGCUAACUACGUGCCAGCAGCCGCGGUAAUACGUAGGGGGCAAGCGUUAUCCGGAUUUACUGGGUGUAAAGGGAGCGUAGACGGAACGUAAAGUCAGAAGUGAAAUUUAUAGGCUCAACUUGUAAACUGCUUUUGAAACUUACGAUCUUGAGUACCGGAGGGGCAGGCGGAAUUCCUGGUGUAGCGGUGAAAUGCGUAGAUAUCAGGAAGAACACCGGUGGCGAAGGCGGCCUGCUGGACGGUAACUGACGUUGAGGCUCGAAAGCGUGGGGAGCAAACAGGAUUAGAUACCCUGGUA
rnacentral:rRNA from 1 species